UUAAUAGAUUUUCUAGAAAAAUUAUUUGGCUUAAGGCUGGCACCACUAACAGAAAACAGAGCUUCAUUGCAAGGUACUUCUAUGAUGCUGUUCGAGAACACGGUGGUUGCCCACGGAUCGUACGGGCACACAGGGGAACAGAGAACCUUAUUGUUGGACAGAUGCAAGUGGCAUUUCAUUUCAGGCAGGCUACGGAUCAAGGACGAGACUCCUUCAGAGUGGGCAAGUCAGUACAUAAUCAGAGAGCUGAAUUCUUCAAUAGCAUGUUAAAGAAAACAUGGAUUAAAAAAUGGCAGGUUACAUUUG